CUAAAUUUAGCCCAGUCGCGGGAGAAAAAGGCUGGCGCGUUCGAUGCCGCAAACGGUCGCGGACGAGAAAGAGGGCGCCCAGAAGGCUCCCAGGUACCAGGGCAGGAGGGGGAACUGGGGGAAGCCAAUAAGUAAGUGAAAAAGAGGGUCUCAGGGCCGGACAGGUGAUGAGGAAGGGGGAAGGAAACCCCUAUAAGGCCCAGGCAAAAACCAC